UACGGAGGGGGCUAGCGUUGUUCGGAAUUACUGGGCGUAAAGCGCGCGUAGGCGGCUUAGCAAGUUAGAGGUGAAAGCCCGAAGCUCAACUUCGGAAUUGCCUUUAAAACUGCAAAGCUAGAAUCAUGGAGAGGUGAGUGGAAUUCCGAGUGUAGAGGUGAAAUUCGUAGAUAUUCGGAAGAACACCAGUGGCGAAGGCGACUCACUGGACAGGUAUUGACGCUGAGGUGCGAAAGCGUGGGGAGCAAACAGG
rnacentral:rRNA from 1 species